CUGCCUGAGGGAAAAGAGACAUUAAAAAGACAGGGGUGUGGGGACAACUGAUGCACACAUGCAAGAGAAUGGGGUCCUGCCUCACGCCGUAUACAUAAAGGUAAUUCAAGAUGGCUCACAGACCUAAAACUGUGAAGCUUGGAAGGGAACGGCUGUAAGAGGAAGAUAUCCACGCCGUUCUCACAAGUGAUUCCUGUUAGUAGCACCUGCCUAGGGCCUUGUUUAAGGAUAAACCUGAGGACGUCCAGCGUUGACAGGUUCAACAGAAGCAGGCCUUUGAAAGGAUGCAAGGCCGGUGAAGGUGUUGUGAAAAUAGGAGUCUGAUGAAAGGAUCGGAUCCUGGUGGCCUAGGACGUCUCAAGGGCCCAGCCACAGCAGGAGGAGAAAGACCAGCCACAUGGCUUCAGGCUCAGCAGAAGUGCCUCAGAGAUCAAGGCCCAGCUUCAACAGCCACCCACUUGAGAGAGCUCGCCAGGUGUCCGCACACAGAGGAGGAGCCAGAUGACACCUGGUAAUUGGCAAAGAUGCCGUGUGGCACAGAGUGAAGACCAGCUGAGGCACCCAGCCUUGUGGAUGGAACAACUACCAUAUUCCUGACCUUUCCAUCAGGAGACAGCCCAUGUUGGACUAGCCAGACCAC